AUUCCCCACGGAGGAAACUGAAAGCAAGAAGCAACAACAGGAACGAUAAAUGCAACCAGCCAGGCGAAGGCUGAAUGGGUCUGUGGGAUUCUGUCUCUGACACUGAUCCUGACUGGUAAAGGCAGCAUGAGGGGAGGGAUCGGGGCUGUGUCUGGGCUCCUUUGGUGCUGUCCACUAGGGUGAGGAUGGUGGAGCCAAUCGAGUAUUUGACACAUAAACUCUCUGCUGGACUUUCACGACCAAGUCCAUUUCCACUGUCCCUAGUCCCUUUUCUUCAACUUUUUCCCCAGGAAGAAGAAAGCAGAGUGAGACUCAACAAUGUCCAUUGCAUUUCCCAUCAGCCUAGGAGGAAGAACUUCCAUGCAAUUUUGUCCCUUCUGCACUAUGGCAAGUCUGACAGGGGCGACUAGGAUCUGGCUGGAGAGAUACCAGUGCCGUGACCGGUGCAGCUCUCUCUUCCUCCCAUUCCUUCCUCCCACUGGCUGGCGUGCAAGAUGGACUGGGAAGACGUCUUUGCCAUGAGGGUGAGGAGAACACCCUGGGAAGAGUGGAGCCCCAGAAGGGAGGAGGCUGGGACCCUGACACACUGGGGCCUCCACACUGGCCCCAGACUGUUGGGGGUGAGAGAACUAACUUCUGUUUUGUUUAAGCCACUGUACGUGGUGUCUUUGUGAGAAAAGUAGAAACCUUAUGCCAACGAAUACCCUCACCUUGGUACCCUCGCUGGCUGCAGCCCAGUGCCAGGCAGGAGUAGGCCACCCUCCCAGUACGGUCCCUUCCUGUGCUGUCCAUCUCCGGGUUUUCAUCCCAACCCAUGCAGCUCCCAGGGGAGGUCAUCCAGAGGCCAGGAAGCAGUCCUCCUUCACAGCCUGGCCUGAGUCAGCAGCUGUUUUCAGUUUAAUGAGAUGACACUAAUGAUUGUGCCUCCCUGGGAUGAGUGGGCCUGUCCUCCCUGGAGAAGUAUGGAAGGUCCUGGUACUUCCAUCAUCGCUGAGCUUGGAGGUCAAGGGGAAGGGAGGUCUCAGAAAAGGGCAUGGAGGUGAUGGACCUAUGGAACAUGCAUUUUCUGCUCCAGAACCAAGUCUAAACUUCAGUAAAAGGUGAGAAAACACCACUGGGCUGGCUUUACUCUGACAGGUGCCACUGAAAAUGCCCCUCCUACAUCUGCUGGGGUUGCCAGGACGAGCCUUACAGGGCACCUGGAAAGUGCUGCAUGCUUUGCCUCUAGUAUUUUUGCCAGCUCCCUCAGGUAGGCAAUGGUCCAUGGGCCCAGGGCAGCCCAGUUUGGUCACGCAG
rnacentral:lncRNA from 1 species